rnacentral:rRNA from 1 species
UACGGAGGAUGCAAGCGUUAUCCGGAAUGAUUGGGCGUAAAGCGUCCGCAGGUGGCUAUGUAAGUCUGCUGUUAAAGAGUGAGGCUCAACCUCAUAAAAGCAGUGGAAACUACAUGGCUAGAGUGCGUUCGGGGCAGAGGGAAUUCCUGGUGUAGCGGUGAAAUGCGUAGAUAUCAGGAGGAACACCGAUGGCGAAGGCAGGUCUCUGGGCCAUAACUGACGCUGAGAAGCGAAAGCCAGGGGAGCAAACGGG